AUUGAACGCUGGCGGCAGGCUUAACACAUGCAAGUCGAGCGAGCGGCGGACGGGUGAGUAAUGUCUGGGAAACUGCCUGAUGGAGGGGGAUAACUACUGGAAACGGUAGCUAAUACCGCAUACCAUCAGAUGUGCCCAGAUGGGAUUAGCUAGUAGGGGGGGUAAUGGCGCACCAAGGCGACGAUCCCUAGCUGGUCUGAGAGGAUGACCAGCCCAACUGGAACUUAGACACGGUCCAGACUCCUACGGGAGGCAGCAGGGGGGAAUAUUGCACAAUGGGCGCAAGCCUGAUGCAGCCAUGCGGCGUGUGUGAAGAAGGCCUUCGGGUUGUAAAGUACUUUCAGCGAGGAGGCGUUACUCGCAGAAGAAGCACCGGCUAACUCCGUGCCAGCAGCCGCGGUAAUAG
rnacentral:rRNA from 1 species